rnacentral:rRNA from 1 species
UGCAAGUCGUGCGGAGGUGCUUUUUGGCACCUCAGCGGCAAACGGGUGAGUAACACGUGAGUAACCUGCCCUCAGGAAGGGGAUAACCCUCCGAAAGGGGGGCUAAUACCCUAUAAUGUCAGUCACCACUAAGGUGGCUGACCAAAGGUGGCCUCUGCUCUGCAUGCUACCGCCUGAGGAGGGGCUCGCGGCCCAUCAGGUAGUUGGUGGGGUAACGGCCUACCAAGCCUAUGACGGGUAGCCGGCCUGAGAGGGUGUCCGGCCACAGUGGGACUGAGACACGGCCCACACCCCUACGGGGGGCAGCAGUGGGGAAUCGUGGGCAAUGGGCGAAAGCCUGACCCCGCGACGCCGCGUGGAGGAAGAAGCCCUUCGGGGUGUAAACUCCUGUCAGGGGGGAAGAUGCUCACAGAGGUGAAUAAUCUCUGUGGGUGACGGUACCCCCAGAGGAGGGGACGGCUAACUACGUGCCAGCAGCCGCGGUAAUACGUAGGUCCCGAGCGUUGCGCGAAUUCACUGGGCGUAAAGCGUCCGCAGCCGGAUGGGUAAGCGGUUCGUCAAAGCCCACCGCUCAACGGUGGAAAGGCGUACCGAACUGCCCAUCUUGAGGCACGCUCAGGCAGGCGGAAUUCCCGGUGUAGCGGUGAAAU